rnacentral:lncRNA from 1 species
AUCGAUGUUGCAUAACGUCAAACUACUACCCAUACGGUGCAUUGUGUUCAUAAUGUAUGCUAAUUGUGCUAUACAACAUCAAUUUCCUAUUCAAUAUAUUUUAAUACAAUAGUAACUAGGUGUUUAGAUCCAUAAUAUUGAAUAACAUUAUAUACUAGUAGUAUCCAGGGAUGCAUGAUCAGUUUUCAUUAUUUCCUCCUUUAAAACAAACUACACAUUUUAUCAACCC